UACGUAGGGUGCAAGCGUUGUCCGGAAUUAUUGGGCGUAAAGAGCUCGUAGGCGGUUUGUCGCGUCGAAUGUGAAAACCCGGGGCUCAACCCCGGGCCUGCAUUCGAUACGGGCAGACUAGAGUUCGGUAGGGGAGUCUGGAAUUCCUGGUGUAGCGGUGAAAUGCGCAGAUAUCAAGGAGGAACACCGGUGGCGAAGGCGGCCUGCUGGGCGUAUGGCUGACACUGAGGCGCGACAGCGUGGGGAGCAAACAGG
rnacentral:rRNA from 1 species